GAGGCCUAAGAAAAAAAUAAAAUUUUAUUUAAAAAGUAUUCAACUUUGUUUCCGAAAGUAGAAUGCUUCUAUUCUGAAGACGCAGAAACAUAAUCCUGAUAAAUGGGGACGAAAUUUAACAGAUAAGGGGAUGAAAUAUGAUAUUUUGAUUUUUCGUUGGUCUAGUCUCGCCUCGAAUGUCCAUGCCCAUUUCGUACCCCUGCGUUUUAUUUUUAAUAUCUCCCCAGAGGUUAACAGCAUCUGCAGUAUACAUGAUAAGAACUUGCUGAUUUCAGUUUUGCUAAGAGGAUGUAUAAUGAACCAUUCUGUGUGCAAAUGUUAGAUUUGAAAUCCUUGUCACAUAGGAAGGAACCAGCUACUUUGUUGUUCAAGAACUAUUAGUGUUCCAACCCCAGCCAUUCAAAUAUUGUGGUACAUACCUUUAUCUGAGUCUGUGUAGAGUGUGUGGCACUCUUUCAGAAUUCUUUCAUUUAUGGAAAGCGUAGCCUGCUCUAACACUGCACUGGAACCACCUUGCCGUGAUUUGACUCUUCCAGACAUGACAAAACUAGCUGCCAAGCAAGCAAAAAGAUCUGAAAAACUUAAGAAAGAGAGAAAGAACAUUUCAAAUCGAAAUUUACUUAUCAAAAUAGAAACUCUAAGCGGACAUUAAAAGAUUUCUCUUAUUCUUGUCGGUCAAAAAAACCGACACGCAACCGACUAUUUCCUCUAGUUACAAAAUUACGGAAAUUGAAACUGAAUUUAAAAGCUGUAAAAUUAUGGAAACAGUUUUGACAGGACAUACUUGCUCUUGAAAUUCAACAGACUAGUUAACUGUAAGAGGCUAGAUGCCGGGAAUGUUGCCAAAUUUCGAGAGGACAAUCUACAACUCAA